CCCCUCUCAGGAUCACACUUGGAGAGUGUCCAGUACUCCUGCAGUCUCGGCUAUGGGUGGGAAAGUCAGGCAGAGGACUACCCAUUCCAUUCCUAGCUUGGCCAGUGACUGGCGAGUGGAAGGCAAUCUGCUACAAGU